rnacentral:rRNA from 1 species
UACGGGGGGAGCAAGCGUCGUUCGGAUUUACUGGGCGUAAAGGGCGCGUAGGCGGUCAGCACAAGUCAGUUGUGAAAUCUCCGGGCUUAACUCGGAAAGGUCAACUGAUACUGUGCGACUAGAGUGCAGAAGGGGCAACUGGAAUUCUCGGUGUAGCGGUGAAAUGCGUAGAUAUCGAGAGGAACACCUGCGGCGAAGGCGGGUUGCUGGGCUGACACUGACGCUGAGGCGCGAAAGCCAGGGGAGCGAACGGG